UACGGAGGGUGCAAGCGUUAUCCGGAUUCACUGGGUUUAAAGGGUGCGUAGGUGGGCAGGUAAGUCAGUGGUGAAAUCUCCGGGCUUAACUCGGAAACUGCCAUUGAUACUAUCUUUCUUGAAUACCGUGGAGGUCAGCGGAAUAUGUCAUGUAGCGGUGAAAUGCUUAGAUAUGACAUAGAACACCAAUUGCGAAGGCAGCUUACUACACAGUUAUUGACACUGAGGCACGAAAGCGUGGGGAGCAAACAGG
rnacentral:rRNA from 1 species